AUCUUUUUCUCGUGAUUCCUUCCUUUGAAGUUUUCUACUGUAAGCUUAGGACACAAUUCCUACUUCAGAUCUAUGUGCUGAGGCUGAGUGAGGUUAUUAGAUAAAUGCCUGUGGCCUGAGAAGCCUGAGGGGUGGCUGUAAUGAGAAGAUUUCUACCAGCUGGUCCAAAAUCUUCAAGUUGCCUACCUGACUGCUGAAAGAAAGCCAAGAUGCAUAAACAUGAGGAUGUUAAGGUGCUCCAGACUGAAGUUUUGGGUGAUCAUCUGUGAGAUGGCAGUUGCUUUGUAGGGCCAACAAGCUUGCUUUAUAGCUGGCCCCAGGCUCCUGUAGCAAUGGAGUGUUUUCUGUUGAAAUUAUCAGAUCACUGUGCAGAAUGGUCAGAGAGAAAUGCUGAGUGUUGUCAAUGGGCCACUGAGCCAAAGGCUUUGUGAGGCAUUUAAUCUGAUUUAUAUAUUUUUUUUCUCUCUAGGAAAUCUCUUUGAUUCCACCUGUCAUUUCUGUUGUGACUGCCAUAUUCAGAAGCGUUAUAUGAGAGUAGCUCCAACACACUUCUGGUGCUAAGAAUGGUAGUUGACUUAAUGGGAGCCCUUUUUUUUUGCUUUAAGGAUUGUCUCCUUACUUCCUAUAAUGAAUGCUCCAGCAUGGGGUUUCUUCUAAAUUAGAAUGGUGGCUGCUGUGAGGCUUGCUUGGAGAGCAGAACAGCAGUGUCUCUGGAGUGUGCCUCUGUGGAAAGGACUGGGAAUUAUAGAGAGUCAGGAGUGAAGUGCUACAGCUGCAUAGACCUGUGCUUUCUUCCUUACUUGCAGAGCUCUCUUGAGAAGUAGAGCUCAUGGGAGAUUAGUAAGCUACUCUGUACCUGCACUGUAAAUAACCAGUUUCUUCUACUGGAGGGACUGCACUAGUUUAUUUAAUUCAUAUAAAAAUGGGGAUUGUGUAGUUUAUUAAACAACAACGGUAUAAUAGUACAAUAAGUAAUAGUAGUUUUACCACAAAAUUAACCUUCUGUAAACGCUCUGAAUCAGUGUCAUUGAGGUAGCUAUGGGGAGUUCAUUGUUAACAUUAUCUAAUUACAAAGAAUGCAGAAGUACUCAAAUAGUAGAGACCAAAGUACUCUGCAGUUUCUUUAAUAAAAGAGAAGUAAUGGUCUGUUUACAGGGGAAACUCUUGGUGCUGUACCUAUCCCUGCAUAGAUUUACUGUGAUGUUUUCCAGUCGUUGAGUUGAAGAUUUUGGAACACAGAGAGAGUGUUUAUGUCCAUGUUUUGCUGUUGAAUAAAAGUGGCUUUUUUUUUUUU
ensembl:lncRNA